rnacentral:rRNA from 1 species
AAAACACAGCACUCUGCAAACUCGCAAGAGGAAGUAUAGGGUGUGAUGCCUGCCCGGUGCCGGAAGGUUAAGAGGAGGAGUCAGCCGCAAGGCAAAGCCCCGAAUCGAAGCCCCGGUAAACGGCGGCCGUAACAAUAACGGUCCUAAGGUAGCGAAAUUCCUUGUCGGGUAAGUUCCGCCUAGCACGAAUGGCAUAACGACUUCCCCACUGUCUCGGAGAGGCCCUCAGCGAAGUAGCACUAGGGGUGAAGAUACCCUUUACCCGCGGCAGGACGGAAAGACCCCGUGAACCUUUACUGUAACUUGGCACUGAUUUUCGGGUUAGCUUGCGUAGGAUAGGUGGGAGGCUAUGAAGCCGGGAUUCCGGUCUCGGCAGAGCCAACCUUGAAAUACCACCCUGGCUAACCUAAAAAUCUAACUCGCUUCCGUAAUCCGGAAGGAGGACAAUGCCUGGUGGGCAGUUUGACUGGGGCGGUCGCCUCCCAAAAAGUAACGGAGGCGCGCGAAGGUUCCCUCAGCCUGAUUGGAAACCAGGCG